AGAGUUUGAUCCUGGCUCAGAACGAACGCUGGCGGCAUGCCUAACACAUGCAAGUCGGACGCUUUUGGGGUUUCGGCCUCAAGGGAGUGGCGGACGGGUGAGUAGCGCGUGGGAACCUGCCCCUUUGUGGGGGAUAACCGAGGGAAACUUCGGCUAAUACCGCAUGCGCCCCUGCGAAAGCUGGGGGAAAGAUUUAUCGCAGAGGGAGGGGCCCGCGUCGGAUUAGGUAGUUGGUGGGGUAACGGCCUACCAAGCCGGUGAUCCGUAGCUGGUCUGAGAGGAUGAUCAGCCACACUGGGACUGAGACACGGCCCAGACUCCUACGGGAGGCAGCAGUGGGGAAUAUUGGACAAUGGGCGCAAGCCUGAUCCAGCAAUGCCGCGUGAGUGAUGAAGGCCUUCGGGUUGUAAAGCUCUUUCGGCGGGGACGAUGAUGACGGUACCCGCAGAAGAAGCCCCGGCUAACUUCGUGCCAGCAGCCGCGGUAAUACGAAGGGGGCGAGCGUUGUUCGGAUUUACUGGGCGUAAAGGGCGCGUAGGCGGCGGGUCAAGUCGAGUGUGAAAGCCCCGGGCUCAACCUGGGAAUUGCGCUCGAGACUGGUCUGCUUGAGUUCGGGAGAGGAGAGUGGAAUUCCCAGUGUAGAGGUGAAAUUCGUAGAUAUUGGGAAGAACACCGGUGGCGAAGGCGGCUCUCUGGACCGAGACUGACGCUGAGGCGCGAAAGCGUGGGGAGCAAACAGGAUUAGAUACCCUAGUAGUCC
rnacentral:rRNA from 1 species